CGCCCCAAAAGAAAUUUUAAUAUAUCAACACCCGGGGAUAACAAACUUUUCCCAUGGGCGGAAAAUUUAGGUGGGUGCCCUCGAGAAUAAAACAAACCUCCGGUAUUUAAAUCUAUACUAACUAGUCGAAAGUACUACAUCACUUAUUGAGCCAAAAACUUGAUCAACGGACAAAGUUACCCUAGGGAUAACAGCUCUCUCGAGGGCUUUACUGUCUCUUACUUYCAAUCCGUGAAAUUGACCUUCCCGUGAAGAGGCGGGUAUAUAUGACAAUAAGACGAGAAGACCCUAUGGAGCUUUAAUUAACCGACCCAAAGAGAUCUUGAUAAUCAACCGACAGGGAUAACAUACCUCUACCAUGGGCCGACAAUUUAGGUUGGGGUGACCUCGGAGAAUAAAACAACCUCCGAGUGAUUUAAAUCUAGACUAACUAGUCGAAAGUACUACAUCACUUAUUGAUCCAAAAACUUKAUCCAAMRRAAMACAGUUACCCUAGGGAUAACAGCGCAAUCCUAUUUUAGAGUCCAUAUCGACAAUAGGAUUGCGCUGUUAUCCCUAGGGUGUCUUGUUCGGUUGGUCAAGUUUUUGGAUAAUAAGGGGUUGAGGACUUUCGAGUAGUGAGUGUAGAUUUAAAUCACUCGGAGGGUGGUUUAUUCUCCGAGGUCACCCCAACCUAAAUUGUCGGCCCAUGGUAGAGGUAUGUUAUCCCUGUCGGUUGAUUAUCAAAAUCUCUUUGGGUCGGUUAAAUAAAGCUCCAUAAGGUCUUCUCUCUUAAUUGUCAUAUUCCCCCCUCUUCACGGGGAAGGUCAUUUCACGGAUAUGGAAGUAAGAGACAGUAAAGCCUCGAG
rnacentral:rRNA from 1 species